GAUGAACGCUGGCGGCGUGCCUAAUACAUGCAAGUCGAGCGAACAGACGAGGAGCUUGCUCCUUUGACGUUAGCGGCGGACGGGUGAGUAACACGUGGGUAACCUACCUAUAAGACUGGGAUAACUUCGGGAAACCGGAGCUAAUACCGGAUAAUAUUUCGAACCGCAUGGUUCGAUAGUGAAAGAUGGCUUUGCUAUCACUUAUAGAUGGACCUGCGCCGUAUUAGCUAGUUGGUAAGGUAACGGCUUACCAAGGCAACGAUACGUAGCCGACCUGAGAGGGUGAUCGGCCACACUAGAACUGAGACACGGUCCAGACUCCUACGGGAGGCAGCAGUAGGGAAUCUUCCGCAAUGGGCGAAAGCCUGACGGAGCAACGCCGCGUGAGUGAUGAAGGUCUUCGGAUCGUAAAACUCUGUUAUUAGGGAAGAACAAACGUGUAAGUAACUGUGCACGUCUUGACGGUACCUAAUCAGAAAGCCACGGCUAACUACGUG
rnacentral:rRNA from 1 species